rfam:Ovis aries breed Texel chromosome 16, whole genome shotgun sequence.
UUCCUCAUAGCUAAGUUGGUAAAGAAUCUGCCUGCAAUGCUGGAGACCCAGGUUAGAUCUCUGGGUUGGGAAG